ACCUGAAUGUAGAGGACGUUUGGAGAAGGAUGAGCAUUGAUGAGGAAAUCAGUGGUCCACUUUAGAGAGUCUUUAGCAGGAUCAAGUUGGUCCAGGGAGUCCAUGUGGUCUCCGUACUCGAGAAUGGACCAGGAGAGAAGAGUGGCAGUGAAUGCCAUAGGGAAACCAAACUUCAUGUGAUCUCCAGCAUCGUAUAAACCUUUGGAAAGGUCCAGACUCGCUUCACUUCCAUCUUUAAGACCUGAAUCUCCUCUCCAAGGUAUUUUGUUGUUCUCCAGCUUACCAGCUACAUCAAAACAAACCAAGUAUCUUUGUAGAACUAAGUUUAGCCAAAAUCAAAACCAAAUAAUCACAUUAAAGAUGUAACUUGCGUCACAAGAAUCCCCAAAAUUCAAAAUCUGUAGCUAACAAACUUGAAAUUUCAUGUAAAAAGUGAAAAAUUGAAAUAUAUGUUAAUGAAUGAAAGUUACAUCGGUAGUUGAAGAAUUAAUGAACUAAUAUAUAUAAAAAGAAUUAAAGAAUUGUGGCUAAUCCAAUUAUCGUCAAUUAGUUUUAACUUAACAAUACAUAAACCUAAAUUUAACAAUAUACAUAAACAAAAACAAGGAAGAUGUGUAUUUGCAGGGAAUGUAACGAUCAUAAGAACGAAAAUGAAGGAAAAAAAGAAGACUAGAGAUGCUGCAGCCAUGGCUGCUGCUGUUUCUGCAGCAACUUCAGUCCCUGGAGUGUCUGCAUCAAUCUUGGUGAGAGUUCUCUUCCUUGACAUUGUUUCUGGCCUAUCCCAGCAUUUAUGAUCCGUCUCCGGAUCUCCCACCUUACAAAAAUGAAUAAUAUGAAAAUGGUCGGAUCUAUGAUUUUAGAGGCCAUAAAUAUUUAUUAAAAAAAAAAUUUCAACAUAAUUUCUAUAAUUUUAUAUCUCUAUAUAUAUAACCUCCAAAAAAAUUUAAGACCCAAAUCCAAUGUUUCACUGGGAUGUGUCCAAAUCCGAUGUUGAAAAUGAGUAUUCUAAUGGUCUUGAAACGUGACAAGUUAUGAAAGAUUGAUCUUGAGCAUUAUACCUGAAUGUAGAGGACGUUUGGAGAAGGAUGAGCAUUGAUGAGGAAAUCAGUGGUCCACUUUAGAGAGUCUUUAGCAGGAUCAAGUUGGUCCAGGGAGUCCAUGUGGUCUCCGUACUCGAGAAUGGACCAGGAGAGAAGAGUGGCAGUGAAUGCCAUAGGGAAACCAAACUUCAUGUGAUCUCCAGCAUCGUAUAAACCUUUGGAAAGGUCCAGACUCGCUUCACUUCCAUCUUUAAGACCUGAAUCUCCUCUCCAAGGUAUUUUGUUGUUCUCCAGCUUACCAGCUACAUCAAAACAAACCAAGUAUCUUUGUAGAACUAAGUUUAGCCAAAAUCAAAACCAAAUAAUCACAUUAAAGAUGUAACUUGCGUCACAAGAAUCCCCAAAAUUCAAAAUCUGUAGCUAACAAACUUGAAAUUUCAUGUAAAAAGUGAAAAAUUGAAAUAUAUGUUAAUGAAUGAAAGUUACAUCGGUAGUUGAAGAAUUAAUGAACUAAUAUAUAUAAAAAGAAUUAAAGAAUUGUGGCUAAUCCAAUUAUCGUCAAUUAGUUUUAACUUAACAAUACAUAAACCUAAAUUUAACAAUAUACAUAAACAAAAACAAGGAAGAUGUGUAUUUGCAGGGAAUGUAACGAUCAUAAGAACGAAAA
rnacentral:lncRNA from 1 species